UACGGGGGGGGCAAGCGUUGUUCGGAAUUACUGGGCGUAAAGGGCUCGUAGGCGGCCAACUAAGUCAGACGUGAAAUCCCUCGGCUUAACCGGGGGAACUGCGUCUGAUACUGGAUGGCUUGAGAUUGGGAGAGGGAUGCGGAAUUCCAGGUGUAGCGGUGAAAUGCGUAGAUAUCUGGAGGAACACCGGUGGCGAAGGCGGCAUCCUGGACCAACACUGACGCUGAGGAGCGAAAGCCAGGGGAGCAAAGCGGG
rnacentral:rRNA from 1 species